rnacentral:rRNA from 1 species
UACGUAGGUCCCGAGCGUUGUCCGGAUUUAUUGGGCGUAAAGCGAGCGCAGGCGGUUUGAUAAGUCUGAAGUUAAAGGCUGUGGCUCAACCAUAGUUCGCUUUGGAAACUGUCAAACUUGAGUGCAGAAGGGGAGAGUGGAAUUCCAUGUGUAGCGGUGAAAUGCGUAGAUAUAUGGAGGAACACCGGUGGCGAAAGCGGCUCUCUGGUCUGUAACUGACGCUGAGGCUCGAAAGCGUGGGGAGCGAACAGGAUUAGAUACCCGU